rnacentral:rRNA from 1 species
AGGGUUUGAUCAUGGCUCAGAUUGAACGCUGGCGGCGUGCCUUACACAUGCAAGUCGAACGGUAACAGGUCUUCGGACGCUGACGAGUGGCGAACGGGUGAGUAAUACAUCGGAACGUGCCCAGUCGUGGGGGAUAACUACUCGAAAGAGUAGCUAAUACCGCAUACGAUCUGAGGAUGAAAGCGGGGGACCUUCGGGCCUCGCGCGAUUGGAGCGGCCGAUGGCAGAUUAGGUAGUUGGUGGGAUAAAAGCUUACCAAGCCGACGAUCUGUAGCUGGUCUGAGAGGACGACCAGCCACACUGGGACUGAGACACGGCCCAGACUCCUACGGGAGGCAGCAGUGGGGAAUUUUGGACAAUGGGCGAAAGCCUGAUCCAGCAAUGCCGCGUGCAGGAUGAAGGCCUUCGGGUUGUAAACUGCUUUUGUACGGAACGAAAAGCCUGGGGCUAAUAUCCCCGGGUCAUGACGGUACCGUAAGAAUAAGCACCGGCUAACUACGUGCCAGCCGCCGCGGUAAUAC